rnacentral:snoRNA from 1 species
AAGCAGCAUCUGUACAGCGCCGCGGGCCUCCCUGGUGCCCAUGUCGCUGGCGAUGCGGCGAGA